AGUAAAUAGAUACCCGGGUAGUCCUGGCAGUAAACGGUGCACGUUUGGUGUGGGCGCAAUCGACCGCGUCCGCGCCGGAGCUAAACGCGUUAAACGUGCCGCCUGGGAAGUACGGUCGCAAGAUUAAAACUCAAAGAAAUUGACGGGGACCCGCACAAGCGGUGGAGUAUGUGGCUUAAUUCGAUGCAACGCGAAGAACCUUACCUGGUCUUGACAUGCAUUGUGUCUCCGGUGAAAGCCGGAUAGGGCAGCAAUGCCCGCUUUGCACAGGUGCUGCAUGGCUGUCGUCAGCUCGUGUCGUGAGAUGUUGGGUUAAAGUCCCGCAACGAGCGCAACCCCUGUGAUUUGUUGCCACCGGCUUAUGCCGAGCACUCGAAUCAGACUGCCUCGAUCAACGAGGAGGAAGGUGGGGAUGACGUCAAGUCCGUAUGGCCCUUACGACCAGGGCUGCACACGUACUACAAUGCUCAGCACAAUGUGAACCGAUGCCGCGAGGUGGAGGAAAUCAAC
rnacentral:rRNA from 1 species